rnacentral:rRNA from 1 species
CAAGGAAUUUUCCGCAAUGGGCGCAAGCCUGACGGAGCGACGCCGCGUGGGGGAUGACGCCUUUCGGGGUGUAAACCCCUUUUCUUCGGGACGAAGCACUGACGGUACCGGAGGAAGAAGCACCGGCUAACUACGUGCCAGCAGCCGCGGUAAGACGUAGGGUGCGAGCGUUGUCCGGAGUUAUUGGGCGUAAAGCGCGCGUAGGCGGCGUGGUGCGUCGCACGUGAAAGCCCGCGGCUCAACCGCGGAGGGUCGUGCGAGACGGCCGCGCUGGAGGCAGGGAGAGGCUGGUGGAAUUCCCGGAGUAGUGGUGAAAUGCGUAGAGAUCGGGAGGAACACCGGUGGCGCAGGCGGCCAGCUGGCCCUGACCUGACGCUGAGGCGCGACGGCGUGGGGAGCGAACGG